rnacentral:rRNA from 1 species
CCUACGGGAGGCAGCAGUAAGGAAUAUUGGACAAUGGGGGCAACCCUGAUCCAGCCAUGCCGCGUGCAGGAAGACGGCCCUAUGGGUUGUAAACUGCUUUUGUUUGGGAAUAAACCCCUCUACGUGUAGAGGGUUGAAUGUACCAAAAGAAUAAGGAUCGGCUAACUCCGUGCCAGCAGCCGCGGUAAUACGGAGGAUCCAAGCGUUAUCCGGAUUUAUUGGGUUUAAAGGGUGCGUAGGCGGUCUUAUAAGUCAGUGGUGAAAUCUCGUCGCUUAACGACGAAACUGCCAUUGAUACUGUAAGACUUGAGUACAGAUGAGGUGGGCGGAAUGUGACAAGUAGCGGUGAAAUGCUUAGAUAUGUCACAGAACACCGAUUGCGAAGGCAGCUCACUAAGGUGUAACUGACGCUGAGGCACGAAAGCGUGGGGAUCAAACAGGAUUAGAUACCCUGGUAGUCCACGCCCUAAACGAUGAUAACUCGCUGUCGGCGAUACACAGCCGGUGGCAAAGCGAAAGCGUUAAGUUAUCACCUGGAAGUACGACCGCAAGGUUGAAACUNAAAUUGAAAUUGACGGCNGAGAGNGCGAGAGACACGAGGAGAG